rnacentral:rRNA from 1 species
UAAAGUCAACAAGAAAGAAGCUUGCUCUUUGGGUGGCGAGUGGCGGACGGGUGAGUAAUGUCUGGGAAACUGCCCGAUGGAGGGGGAUAACUACUGGAAACGGUAGCUAAUACCGCAUAACGUCGCAAGACCAAAGUGGGGGACCUUCGGGCCUCACACCAUCGGAUGUGCCCAGAUGGGAUUAGCUAGUAGGUGGGGUAAUGGCUCACCUAGGCGACGAUCCCUAGCUGGUCUGAGAGGAUGACCAGCCACACUGGAACUGAGACACGGUCCAGACUCCUACGGGAGGCAGCAGUGGGGAAUAUUGCACAAUGGGCGCAAGCCUGAUGCAGCCAUGCCGCGUGUAUGAAGAAGGCCUUCGGGUUGUAAAGUACUUUCAGCGGGGAGGAAGGCGGUGAGGUUAAUAACCUCGCCGAUUGACGUUACCCGCAGAAGAAGCACCGGCUAACUCCGUGCCAGCAGCCGCGGUAAUACGGAGGGUGCAAGCGUUAAUCGGAAUUACUGGGCGUAAAGCGCACGCAGGCGGUCUGUUAAGUCAGAUGUGAAAUCCCCGGGCUUAACCUGGGAACUGCAUUUGAAACUGGCAGGCUUGAGUCUCGUAGAGGGGGGUAGAAUUCCAGGUGUAGCGGUGAAAUGCGUAGAGAUCUGGAGGAAUACCGGUGGCGAAGGCGGCCCCCUGGACGAAGACUGACGCUCAGGUGCGAAAGCGUGGGGAGCAAACAGGAUUAGUUUUGGUGUGUUUUUUCAUCACA